rnacentral:rRNA from 1 species
CAGUCGCCGCGGUAAAACGUAGGUGGCAAGCGUUAUCCGGAAUGAUUGGGCGUAAAGCGUCUGUAGGUGGCUUUUCAAGUCCGCCGUCAAAUCCCAGGGCUCAACCCUGGACAGGCGGUGGAAACUACCAAGCUGGAGUACAGUAGGGGCAGAGGGAAUCUCCGGUGGAGCGGUGAAAUGCGUUGAGAUCGGAAAGAACACCAACGGCGAAAGCACUCUGCUGGGCCGACACUGACACUGAGAGACGAAAGCUAGGGGAGCAAAUGGGAUUAGAUACCCCAGUAGUCCCUGUCUCUUAUAC